GCCCUGUGGCUAGUGGAUGCAGCUGUUCAUGGUCAGCUCUCCAGCAGGGAGAAGGGGCAGAGCAAUUCUGUAAUUUAUGCACGAGGGCUAUUUCUCCUCAGCAGCCUCCAUAGCCCAUCAGAGAAAUGG